rnacentral:lncRNA from 1 species
AGUCUGAAAAGCUCUAAUCUUUGGAGUGCAUCAAAGUAUAAUGUCUCCACCCAGGGCCAGAGGUGCUCUAUCCUUUUGAACAAACUUUUAAGGAGUGGAAAAGCUGAAACCUAACUAGGGAAACGGGAAGCGGGACCCAGAGCUUCGGUGGCCUUGAAGAACUCGAUCCUGGGAUGUGCUGAGAUCUCCACUGGUGCCUACAAAGAAACACAAAUUCAUCAUAUCACAGUUGCAGCUGGCUUACAAAACCAGAGAUGCUGUUUCUCCAUCUUCUAAGGACCCCUAUGCUCAAGGCUGAGAACAACUGAGACUCCAAGGUCAUGUGACUUAGGAUUAUACUACUAAUUAUAGGCUGGAGACUGAGUUCAGACAUGCUCAUCAAUGCCUGGACCCUGCUUCCCAAGCUUCUCUGCGUCUGUGGGAAUUAUUGAGACCCUGCCUUAGCUCUUGCCAAGACCUGUGGGUGCAGAGCAGGGGACAGGGUGGAUUAUUCUGCUCUUUGAAAUGUCUAUUGGGUCAAACCUAUCUGGAAACUCAGAAGCCAAGCCAGGGAGUUUUGAACAUGGGGGUUAUAACAGUAUGGUGGGUAGGGAGGCAGCCAAUCGUCCAGCAUCUGGAAUGAAGCCACACCACACUCUUCCCUGUGCCCCCAGCCCUCAGGCUUGGAAGAGCUCCCUGCCCCACUCCCUCCCUUCCUCCCUUCCUUCCUCUGUCCCCUCCACUAAUGAAUGCUAUCACCUCUCCUGCCUCCCUUCUUAUACCAAAAAUCUCAUCUCCUCCUAGACCUAUAUACUAUAGAAACAAAACAAACAAGCAACAAUAAAACCCUAAAUUAACACAUAAUAGGUCACCCAGGCAAGCAUGAAUAAAUGUUGGAAGGUUUUUUGUUUUUUGGGUUUGUUUGUUUUUUUUUUUUUUUACUAUAAAUUCCUUAUGCCAA